CCCGAAGCAGCAUAGUUAAAGCAUACAUCCCGCCAAAAACAGUUUCGCAGGACCCUGUAUCUUCUUUUGACGAAGACAGCAAGGCUUCAUCCGAAGACGCAGUUGAUAUCCUAGUUGAUUUGGUCAAUGAGGGAGAAGAAAACGACGAUACUCAACAUGUUGUUCCAUGUGAGGCAAUUGCUGGACCGUCAGGGGUACAAAAUGACAACGUCACCGGGAGCGCCGAACCAAGGUCAGGGGGUUCAAACAAGG